CAAAUUAUGAAAAAGAAUGACAAGAUCAUGCUACAAAGGUGGUUUUCUCAUGGCAGGGCUUAUUAAUUACACUUCUGAUUUGCAGAUCUAUUCAAUUUCCCCAAUAUGGGAAACUUGCCUGUAUAAUUCAGGAUAGUGGGAGACUGAGUGCACACUUUCCUU